rfam:Armatimonadetes bacterium 55-13 SCNpilot_expt_500_bf_scaffold_116, whole genome shotgun sequence.
UCGGGUGGCCAUAGCGAGAAGGAAACACCCGUUCCCAUUCCGAACACGGCAGUUAAGCUUCUCAGCGGCGGAAGUACUUGGAGGGCAGCCUCCCGGGAGAUAAGCGCGUUGCCCGGA